GACGAACGCUGGCGGCGUGCCUAACACAUGCAAGUCGAGCGGAGUUGCAGGGUAGCUUGCUACCAUGUAACUUAGCGGCGGACGGGUGAGUAACACGUGGGCAACCUACCUUUCACAGGGGGACAACACAGGGAAACUUGUGCUAAUACCGCAUAACACAACGAAGUGGCAUCGCUUUGUUGUCAAAGGAGCAAUCCGGUGAAAGAUGGGCCCGCGUCCGAUUAGUUAGUUGGUGAGGUAAUGGCUCACCAAGACCGCGAUCGGUAGCCGAACUGAGAGGUUGAUCGGCCACAUUGGGACUGAGACACGGCCCAGACUCCUACGGGAGGCAGCAGUGGGGAAUAUUGCGCAAUGGGGGAAACCCUGACGCAGCAACGCCGCGUGAAGGAAGAAGGCUUUCGGGUUGUAAACUUCUUUGAUCAGGGAAGAAAGAAAUGACGGUACCUGAAGAACAAGCCACGGCUAACUACGUGCCAGCAGCCGCGGUAAC
rnacentral:rRNA from 1 species